UGCCAUUGCUUUGUAAUUGCCCUUUUUCGUGUGGAAUAAUAAACUAGGAGUUAUACAGUUAAAACUCUAUCAUGAUGAACAUUAAGGUAAGAUUUUUGGUUUAUAUGUUUUAAGCUUUUAGCAUAUGGUUUAAGCCUAACUUGCGCAACUUUUUGUACGCCGUUACAAAAAAUGUGCGCCGAAGGACUGCUAUCUUGCAGACAACUUCGAUUCAACCUUGUGUGGUUCUUCGGUUCUAUUUUUUACGCCAUCUUCCUUCUGUUGUAAAAUAAAUGCUUUGUUUAGAAGGAUAAAUUAGCGGUGGAAAGCAAAUAACUUGAGUCGGUUGAUUGAGCACAUGUAUCGAAAGAGUCACUUUUGA
rnacentral:lncRNA from 1 species